UACGGAGGGUGCGAGCGUUGUCCGGAAUCACUGGGCGUAAAGGGCUCGUAGGCGGCCAACUAAGUCAGACGUGAAAUCCCUCAGCUUAACCGGGGAACUGCGUCUGAUACUGGAUGGCUUGAGUUUGGGAGAGGGAUGCGGAAUUCCAGGUGUAGCGGUGAAAUGCGUAGAUAUCUGGAGGAACACCGGUGGCGAAGGCGGCAUCCUGGACCAACACUGACGCUGAGGAGCGAAAGCCAGGGGAGCAAACGGGG
rnacentral:rRNA from 1 species